GACGAACGCUGGCGGCGUGCUUAACACAUGCAAGUCGAACGGAAAGGCCCUGCUUUUGUGGGGUGCUCGAGUGGCGAACGGGUGGGUAACAAGUGAGUAACCUGCCCUUGACUUUGGGAUAACUUCAGGAAACUGGGGCUAAUACCGGAUAGGAGCUCCUGCUGCAUUGUGGGGGUUGGAAAGUUUCGGCGGUUGGGGAUGGACUCGCGGCUAAUCAGCUUGUUGGUGGGGUAGUGGCUUACCAAGGCUUUGACGGGUAGCCGGCCUGAGAGGGUGACCGGCCACAUUGGGACUGAGAUACGGCCCAGACGCCUACGGGAGGCAGCAGUGGGGAAUAUUGCACAAUGGGCGGAAGCCUGAUGCAGCAACGCCGCGUGCGGGAUGACGGCCUUCGGGUUGUAAACCGCUUUCGCCUGUGACGAAGCGUGAGUGACGGUAAUGGGUAAAGAAGCACCGGCUAACUACGUG
rnacentral:rRNA from 1 species